UGGGGAAUAUUGGGCAAUGGGGGGAACCCUGACCCAGCAACGCCGCGUGAAGGAAGAAGGUUUUCGGAUUGUAAACUUCUGUCCUUGGUGAAGAGGAAGAGACGGUAGCCAAGGAGGAAGCCCCGGCUAACUACGUGCCAGCAGCCGCGGUAAAACGUAGGGGGCGAGCGUUGUCCGGAAUUACUGGGCGUAAAGGGCGCGUAGGCGGUCAUUUAAGUCAGAGGUGAAAACUACCGGCUCAACCGGUAGCCUGCCUUUGAAACUGGAUGACUUGAGGGCAGGAGAGGGGAGUGGAAUUCCCAGUGUAGCGGUGAAAUGCGUAGAUAUUGGGAGGAACACCAGUGGCGAAGGCGGCUCUCUGGCCUGUUUCUGACGCUGAGGCGCGAAAGCGUGGGGAGCGAACGGG
rnacentral:rRNA from 1 species